CAUUCAUGAGACUGCAAUCUUUCGUAACCUCAUAAUCAAACUGGCAAGUACGGGAACAAUGUACCUGCAGCGAAAUGGAUAUCUGCUUUAAGAAAUGUGUGUUUUACUCUUUCCAGUGACAUGCCAAACGCAGAAGACCCAUAAAGGAAAGCAAUUCAUGGGUACCUGCAUCCACAAGCUGCCAGGCUGUAACUUUAAAGACAGAAAGUCCUGAAUUGUAAAAUGGAGAAAGCUGAUCAUCGACUUCAGGAAGCGAGGAGGAGGUCACGCCCCUAUCUGCAUCAAUGGUGCUGAGGUGAAGAUGGUCGAGAGCAUCAAGUUCCUGGGAGUGGACGAUCGACGACUUGUCCUGGCCACCCACACUGAUGUAAUGGUCAAGAAAGCACAACAAUACCACUACUCCCUCAGCAUGCUAAGGAAAUACAACAUGCCCAUAAAGAUCCAUGCUUAGCUUGAGAACUCUCAUUUCUCUUACUAGUUUGUACCUAUUUUUUUUGUACCUUAGAUGCUUUUCAUUGCACUUCUGAACUUGAGUACA